rnacentral:rRNA from 1 species
GAAAUGACUGCUAAUACCGCAUAUGCCUUGAGUAUCACAUGGUACAAAAGGGAAAGGAGCAAUCCGCUGAUAGAUGGGCUUGCGUCUGAUUAGAUAGUUGGUGAGGUAACGGCCCACCAAGUCGACGAUCAGUAGCCGGACUGAGAGGUUGAACGGCCACAUUGGGACUGAGAUACGGCCCAGACUCCUACGGGAGGCAGCAGUCGGGAAUAUUGCGCAAUGGGGGAAACUCUGACGCAGUGACGCCGCGUGCAGGAAGAAGGUUUUCGGAUUGUAAACUGCUUUAGACAGGGAAGAAACAAGACAGUACCUGUAGAAUAAGCUCCGGCUAACUACGUGCCAGCAGCCGCGGUAAUACGUAGGGAGCAAGCGUUAUCCGGAUUUAUUGGGUGUAAAGGGUGCGUAGACGGGAAAUUAAGUUAGUUGUGAAAUCCCUCGGCUUAACUGAGGAACUGCAACUAAAACUGGUUUUCUUGAGUGCUGGAGAGGAAAGUGGAAUUCCUAGUGUAGCGGUGAAAUGCGUAGAUAUUAGGAGGAACACCAGUGGCGAAGGCGACUUUCUGGACAGUAACUGACGUUGAGGCACGAAAGUGUGGGGAGCAAACAGGAUUAGAUACCCUGGUAGUCCACACCGUAAACGAUGGAUACGAGGUGUAGGGUGUGAUAAACAUUCUGUG